rnacentral:tRNA from 1 species
GCCUCUGUGGCUUAGCGGGUAUAGCAACAUUAAAAUGCUAAAGAUUCGUAAUCUGUAGGUCGGGGGUUCAAUUCCCCCCAGAGGCU